rnacentral:rRNA from 1 species
CGUUGUUCGGAUUUACUGGGCGUAAAGCGCGCGUAGGCGGCUUUGCAAGUCGGGUGUGAAAUCCCCAGGCUUAACCUGGGAACUGCAUUCGAGACUGCAUUGCUAGAGUAUGGGAGAGGGAAGUGGAAUUUCCGGUGUAGCGGUGAAAUGCGUAGAUAUCGGAAGGAACAUCAGUGGCGAAAGCGACUUCCUGGACCAAUACUGACGCUCAUGUGCGAAAGCGUGGGGAGCAAACAGG